UGGUACUGCGGAGACAUUA
rnacentral:rRNA from 1 species